UCACAUUAUAAUACGAAAUAACUUUUAUAUACACUGGGAAACCAAAAAAUUCGUGGUCUGGAACCGAACCCGCAAUAUCUCCGAGGUAUGUCUGUAUCGGGUCCUUCAAUUUAACUCGACUACGUGUGUCCUCCAGCGAGACUGUGAUCUCUUUGGGUAUACUGUUAUUAGUUGCAUGCUUCAUAAAUGUAUUCGGCUGCUUGAGUUAAUAAACUGUGAUCCAGGCUGUAAGACAUUGAACUAUCCACAUGAUAAGGGGUCAGAGAACACAAACAAUUACUCAGCACAUACCAACAUUCAAAGAACAUCUCUGCACGCGUCCCUAAUAAGCGCCCAGCCCAGAGGCGAUUUUGGGAUACGUGUUCGAAACUAUUUGCUCUCGGCACUUCGGUAGCACACGACAAGCUUUUAAGCCCUUUAAACCCUCGCUUCUGAGGGCAUAAGUUGACGCCACACUCAAUUCAUCAACUGUGCUACUACGCGCUUGUGUUCUUGAAGUCCAGUGUCUUCAAUAACGAAGUAAUCUCAUAAUAUUGCUACCUAACUCUACCGAGUUUUUGCUACAAUCUGUGAAGUGUGUACUGACUACAAUUCUCCACGUCUGUGUUGUGUUGGCUACAAGAGGACUUCAGUUUUAAUUCGUUUCUUUACGUCUACCCUAAACGAAGAACACGCCCCUCAGCCGAGAACGUGCUGCCAUCUAUCGGUAGUCCUAGCAACAUGUCUGCGAUAUGAAUCGAUAAAGGCUGAUCGAUCUUCAUGAAAUCUGGUGCAAGAGAGAAAACGGUUUUGACAUGAUAUCAGAAAUUAACCAGAAUCAUAUCCUUGCUUCCUUCCACGAUUUAUCAUCCAUCGAUGAGAAAAAUAUACUCAUUUGGUCUUUUAAUGACGU